UGAAUUCAGUGCUGGAUAUUGAUCAGAGA
rnacentral:piRNA from 1 species